rnacentral:rRNA from 1 species
GGUUUGAUCAUGGCUCAGAUUGAACGCUGGCAGAUGCUUACACAUGCAAGUCGAACGGCAGCACGACCUCUGGGUCUGGUGGCGAGUGGCGAACGGGUGAGUAAUGUAUCGGAACGUGCCUAGUAGCGGGGGAUAACUACGCGAAAGCGUAGCUAAUACCGCAUACGCCCUUCUGGGGAAGCGGGGACCGGCCUGCACUAUUAGAGCGGUUGAUAUCGGAUUAGCUAGUUGGUGGGGUAACGGCUCACCAAGGCGACGAUCCGUAGCUGGUUUGAGAGACGACCAGCCAGCACUGGGACUGAGACACGGCCCAGACUCCUACGGGAGGCAGCAGUGGGGAAUUUUGGACAAUGGGGGAAACCCGAUCCAGCCAUCCCGCGUAAAAGUGAUGAAGGCCUUCAGUUGUAAAGCACUUUUGGCAGGAAAAGAAACGGCACGGGAUAAUACCCCGUAACUGACGGUACCUGCAGAAUAAGCACCGGCUAACUACGCGCCAGCAGCCGCGGUAAUACGUAGGGCGCAAGCGUUAAUCGGAAUUACCGGCGGAAGGCAGGCGGUUCGGAAAGAAAGAGGAAUCCCAGAGUCAAUUUUUGAACUGCAUUUUUAACUACCGAGCUAGAGUGUCAGAGGGAGGUGGAAUUCCGCGUGUAGCAGUGAAAUGCGUAGAUAUGUGUGGAGGAACACCACGGCGAAGGCAGCCUCCUGGGAUAAAUUACCGACGUGCUCAUGCACGAAAGCGGGGAGCAACAGGAUUAGAUACCUUGUAUUCACGCCCUAAACGAUGUCAACUAGCUGUUGGGGCCUUCGGGCCUUGGUAGCGCAGCUAACGCGUGAAGUUGACCGCCUGGGGAGUACGGUCGCAAGAUUAAAACUCAAAGGAAUUGACGGGGACCCGCACAAGCGGUGGAUGAUGUGGAUUAAUUCGAUGCAACGCGAAAAACCUUAAUUUACCCUUGACAUGUCUGGAAUCCCGAAGAGAUUUGGGAGUGCUCGCAAGAGAACCGGAACACAGGUGCUGCAUGGUUGUCGUCAGUCAGGUUACGAUGUCUGGGUUAUCCCGGGGUCGAGCAACCUCCAUUCAAUGAACAUUGAAACGGUACUCUGGACGAGACGUCAGAAACCGGAGGAAUGUGUUGUGUGGACGACGUCGUCCUCACACUACAGGCAGGUUUACUCCGCCGUGCACUGGUCGGUUGGGACAGGUCACAACCGCGAGGGGAGCUAAUCCUUGAACCCGAUCCGUAUUCUGACUGCGCAGCUCCACCUGACUGCGUGAAGCCUGGAAUCGGCUAGUAAUCGCGGAUCAGCAUGUCGCGGUAAUAUUGUUCCUGGUCUUGUACACACCGCCCGUCACACCAUAGAGUGGGUUUUACCAGAAGUAGUUAGCCUAACCGUAAGGAGGGCGAUUACCACGGUAGGAUCUGCGACUGGGGCAAAGUCGCACAAGGUAGC